rnacentral:rRNA from 1 species
UACGUAGGGUGCGAGCGUUGUCCGGAAUUAUUGGGCGUAAAGAGCUCGUAGGCGGUGUGUCGCGUCGGCCGUGAAAACCUGGGGCUCAACUCUGGGCGUGCGGUCGAUACGGGCAUCACUUGAGUUCGGCAGGGGAGACUGGAAUUCCUGGUGUAGCGGUGGAAUGCGCAGAUAUCAGGAGGAACACCGGUGGCGAAGGCGGGUCUCUGGGCCGUUACUGACGCUGAGGAGCGAAAGCGUGGGGAGCGAACAGG